AACACGUGGGAACGUGCCUUUAGGUUCGGAAUAACUCAGGGAAACUUGUGCUAAUACCGAAUGUGCCCUUCGGGGGAAAGAUUUAUCGCCUUUAGAGCGGCCCGCGUCUGAUUAGCUAGUUGGUGAGGUAAAGGCUCACCAAGGCGACGAUCAGUAGCUGGUCUGAGAGGAUGAUCAGCCACAUUGGGACUGAGACACGGCCCAAACUCCUACGGGAGGCAGCAGUGGGGAAUCUUGCGCAAUGGGCGAAAGCCUGACGCAGCCAUGCCGCGUGAAUGAUGAAGGUCUUAGGAUUGUAAAAUUCUUUCAGUAGGGACGAUAAUGACGGUACCUACAGAAGAAGCCCCGGCUAACUUCGUGCCAGCAGCCGCGGUAAUACGAAGGGGGCUAGCGUUGCUCGGAAUUACUGGGCGUAAAGGGAGCGUAGGCGGACAUUUAAGUCAGGGGUGAAAUCCCGGGGCUCAACCUCGGAAUUGCCUUUGAUACUGGGUGUCUUGAGUGUGAGAGAGGUAUGUGGAACUCCGAGUGUAGAGGUGAAAUUCGUAGAUAUUCGGAAGAACACCAGUGGCGAAGGCGACAUACUGGCUCAUUACUGACGCUGAGGCUCGAAAGCGUGGGGAGCAAACAGGAUUAGAUACCCUGGUAGUCCACGCCGUAAACGAUGAUUGCUAGUUGUCGGGAUGCAUGCAUUUCGGUGACG
rnacentral:rRNA from 1 species